UCUGCUUUUUAGACUUUUAGCCAAAAUCAAGUGUAGCAUCUGUUCUUACCAGUUUGCUAUCUGAUGUGUUCUCUCUCCAAGAACAAUAUAUAUGUUUUUGGAAUAAGGAGAUAGAUAGGAACAUGUUAUACAUUCAUUCCACUUUUAGACCGGGCAUUGCAGGAAUAGUGCACCCUGUUGGGGACUUAAAAGAAAUU